rnacentral:pre_miRNA from 1 species
ACACCCUUCUGGGGCAAGACUUGCUUCAGUGGGGCUUUGGUGCUCACUGAGUCUUCCCCCUGAGUGUGUCCCU